AUUGAACGCUGGCGGCAUGCUUUACACAUGCAAGUCGAACGGCAGCGCGGGCUUCGGCCUGGCGGCGAGUGGCGAACGGGUGAGUAAUACAUCGGAACGUGCCCAGGAGUGGGGGAUAGCUCGGCGAAAGCCGGAUUAAUACCGCAUACGACCUGAGGGUGAAAGCGGGGGAUCUUCGGACCUCGCGCUAUUGGAGCGGCCGAUGGCAGGUUAGCUAGUUGGUGGGGUAAAGGCCUACCAAGGCGACGAUCUGUAGCUGGUCUGAGAGGACGACCAGCCACACUGGGACUGAGACACGGCCCAGACUCCUACGGGAGGCAGCAGUGGGGAAUUUUGGACAAUGGGCGAAAGCCUGAUCCAGCAAUGCCGCGUGUGUGAUGAAGGCCUUCGGGUUGUAAAGCACUUUUGGCGGGAACGAAAAGGACUGUGCCAAUACCACGGUUCGAUGACGGUACCCGCAGAAUAAGCACCGGCUAACUACGUG
rnacentral:rRNA from 1 species